rnacentral:piRNA from 2 species
UGAUGUCAAGACUACCGAUGGUUACU